AUUGAACGCUGGCGGCAUGCCUUACACAUGCAAGUCGAACGGCAGCACGGGAGCAAUCCUGGUGGCGAGUGGCGAACGGGUGAGUAAAGUAUCGGAACGUGCCCAGUCGUGGGGGAUAACGUAGCGAAAGUUACGCUAAUACCGCAUACGAUCUAUGGAUGAAAGCGGGGGAUCGCAAGACCUCGCGCGAUUGGAGCGGCCGAUAUCAGAUUAGGUAGUUGGUGGGGUAAAGGCUCACCAAGCCGACAAUCUGUAGCUGGUCUGAGAGGACGACCAGCCACACUGGGACUGAGACACGGCGCAGACUCCUACGGGAGGCAGCAGUGGGGAAUUUUGGACAAUGGGCGAAAGCCUGAUCCAGCCAUGCCGCGUGCAGGAUGAAGGCCUUCGGGUUGUAAACUGCUUUUGUACGGAACGAAAAGGUUUGGCCUAAUAAGCUGAGCUCAUGACGGUACCGUAAGAAUAAGCACCGGCUAACUACGUGCCAGCAGCCGCCGCGG
rnacentral:rRNA from 1 species